UGCACUUUUCUAGUAAUUACUUUCUAUUUGUUAUAUACUUAUGUAAAGGACCCAAAUUUUUUUAGUCAUUAGUUAUGUGGCUUAUGUGAGCCCAAGUGGACUUCCAAAAAUUGGCGGGCAAGCCGACCUAAAAUAGGGAAGACUCGCUCGCCUUGAAAAAUGUGUUCGUUAAUCUAGGUGUCGGCACGGUUCGCCUUCUCUAUACGAUCAUUGACGAGUCGCCUCUCACCCUGAC
rnacentral:lncRNA from 1 species